GACGAACGCUGGCGGCGUGCCUAAUACAUGCAAGUUGAGCGCUGAAGGUUGGUACUUGUACCGACUGGAUGAGCAGCGAACGGGUGAGUAACGCGUGGGGAAUCUGCCUUUGAGCGGGGGACAACAUUUGGAAACGAAUGCUAAUACCGCAUAAAAACUUUAAAAACAAGUUUUAAGUUUGAAAGAUGCAAUUGCAUCACUCAAAGAUGAUCCCGCGUUGUAUUAGCUAGUUGGUGAGGUAAAGGCUCACCAAGGCGAUGAUACAUAGCCGACCUGAGAGGGUGAUCGGCCACAUUGGGACUGAGACACGGCCCAAACUCCUACGGGAGGCAGCAGUAGGGAAUCUUCGGCAAUGGACGAAAGUCUGACCGAGCAACGCCGCGUGAGUGAAGAAGGUUUUCGGAUCGUAAAACUCGGUUGGUAGAGAAGAACGUUGGUGAGAGUGGAAAGCUCAUCAAGUGACGGUAACUACCCAGAAAGGGACGGCUAACUACGUG
rnacentral:rRNA from 1 species